CAGCGGACAUGUGGCUUAUUCGACGCAACGCGAAGAACCUUACCAAGGCUUGACAUAUACCGGAAAGCAUCAAAGAUGGUGCCCCCCUUGUGGUCGGUAUACAGGUGGUGCAUGGCUGUCGUCAGCUCGUGUCGUGAGAUGUUGGGUUAAGUCCCGCAACGAGCGCAACCCUUGUUCUGUGUUGCCAGCAUGCCCUUCGGGGUGAUGGGGACUCACAGGAGACUGCCGGGGUCAACUCGGAG
rnacentral:rRNA from 1 species